GAUGAACGCUGGCGGCGUGCCUAAUACAUGCAAGUCGAGCGAACAGACGAGGAGCUUGCUCCUCUGACGUUAGCGGCGGACGGGUGAGUAACACGUGGAUAACCUACCUAUAAGACUGGGAUAACUUCGGGACACCGGAGCUAAUACCGGAUAAUAUAUUGAACCGCAUGGUUCAAUAGUGAAAGACGGUUUUGCUGUCACUUAUAGAUGGAUCCGCGCCGCAUUAGCUAGUUGGUAAGGUAACGGCUUACCAAGGCAGCGAUGCGUAGCCGACCUGAGAGGGUGAUCGGCCACACUGGAACUGAGACACAGUCCAGACUCCGACGGGAGGCAGCAGUAGGGAAUCUUCCGCGAUGGGCGAAAGCCUGACAGAGCAACGCCGCGUGAGUGAUGAAGGUCUUCGGAUCUUAAAACUCUGUUAUUAGGGAAGAACAAAUGUGUAAGUAACUAUGCACGUCUUGACGGUACCUAAUCAGAAAGCCACGGCUAACUACGUG
rnacentral:rRNA from 1 species